AUUGCUGGAUCACAUGGUAGUUCUUGUUUUUUGAGGAGCCGCCGUACUGUUUUCAAUAGUGGCUUUACCAAUUUACUUUCCCACUAACAGUGUGAGAGGUUCCCUUUUCUCCACACCCUCCCUAGCAUUUAUUAUUUGCAGAUUUUUUGAUGAUGGCCAUUCUGACUGGUGUGAGGU